rfam:Salmo salar isolate Sally breed double haploid chromosome ssa01, whole genome shotgun sequence.
AUUGCACCAAUUUGUAAGUCGCUCUGGAUAAGAGCGUCUGCUAAAUGACUUAAC